UACGAAGGGGGCUAGCGUUACUCGGAUUGACUGGGCGUAAAGGGCGCGUAGGCGGUUUGUACAGUCAGACGUGAAAUUCCUGGGCUCAACCUGGGGGCUGCGUUUGAUACGUGCAGACUUGAGUUCGGAAGAGGGUCGUGGAAUUCCCAGUGUAGAGGUGAAAUGCGUAGAUAUCGAGAGGAACACCAGUGACGAAGGCGAGUCCCUGGACAACUCCUGACACUGAGGCACGAAAGCUAGGGGAGCAAACAGG
rnacentral:rRNA from 1 species